GAGUUUGAUCAUAGCUCAGAUUGAACGCUGGCGGCAGGCUUAACACAUGCAAGUCGAGCGGAGAUGAGGUGCUUGCACCUUAUCUUAGCGGCGGACGGGUGAGUAAUGCUUAGGAAUCUGCCUAUUAGUGGGGGACAACAUUCCGAAAGGGAUGCUAAUACCGCAUACGUCCUACGGGAGAAAGCAGGGGAUCUUCGGACCUUGCGCUAAUAGAUGAGCCUAAGUCGGAUUAGCUAGUUGGUGGGGUAAAGGCCUACCAAGGCGACGAUCUGUAGCGGGUCUGAGAGGAUGAUCCGCCACACUGGGACUGAGACACGGCCCAGACUCCUACGGGAGGCAGCAGUGGGGAAUAUUGGACAAUGGGGGGAACCCUGAUCCAGCCAUGCCGCGUGUGUGAAGAAGGCCUUAUGGUUGUAAAGCACUUUAAGCGAGGAGGAGGCUACUGAGACUAAUACUCUUGGAUAGUGGACGUUACUCGCAGAAUAAGCACCGGCUAACUCUGUG
rnacentral:rRNA from 1 species